rnacentral:lncRNA from 1 species
CAUUUUAAGUAUUUAAUAUAGAUAUUGCUUUCAUGGUUUCCAAUAAUAAUAAUGUUGUUUCGUUGACUUCCAAAUCACAUAAGGAAUGUUUGCACACGGUUUAUGUUUAAUAAUGUUGCAAUUCCAAAUCCGAGCCACAAAGGCUCUCAUGCUCUGAAAGACCUCUUAAUAUAUCGAUCUUGCACAUAUGCUGCAAAAGUUCCAUCUUGAACCAUAUCCCCACAGAACUAGCACGUCACUAGGCGUAAUGGGCAGUCCGAGGAUUGGUCUUUCUCCUAGCUGAGGAAAAAAAAGAAGAAUGGUAUGAGAAGAGUGCAUAAAAUGCAAUAAAUCUGCAGCAAUUUCUUAUGAGAAUAAAAUAUUAAAAGACACAUUUGAUUGAAAAUUUAACUACACAAAGGAAAGAACUAUGUUAAAUGUUAUGUAUGGAAUUCUAUUAGGAACUGCAACUGAGGAAAGAAAGUCAAAAUAUCAAUCUUGACUGCCAAUAAUUUUUUAGGUUUUAAGUCCAUAAUAUUUAUCAUAGGCAGUACUAACGAUGAAAAGUUCAUAGACAAAUGCCAAAAUCUGAGGCAUUAGAACAGUAACAAGACAACAAACAACACAGAUUAGCAAUGCAGCAAUAGACACUAUUUUUAGAAACAAUGAUUGAUGCCAACUUGGACACCUAAAUCAAAAAAACAAAUGAAAGGCCCAAAGAAACAUGCUACCAAACAAACCUCUAGAAACCAAUCUGCUUAGCAGCUUGCCAACAAUUAUAAUCCAAAGGAGGUCAAGUCUAAACUUUUUGAAACAAGACAAUACAACUACAUAUUAGGAACAAUUAUGAACAAUCCAAUUAUUACACAAAGAUAACAAGCAUAUAAAUUCUCUUCUGACAUACAUACAUUGUAACUGUGGAACUAAUUAACUUCACAAAACAACAUCAUUCUCAUUGGCAUUUUUGCUAAAGAUACAAUUUCAUUCAUACAAAUUUAAGAAAAAGAAUAGAUAAAUAAAAUAAAAAAUGUAUAAAUUACUGAUAUAAAUAAACAAAUAAUAACAUAAUUUCAUUCAUACAAAUUUAAGAAAAAUAAUAGAUAUUGUAAAACCAACCUUAAACGUGUAACAUGUCCAAUUAAUCAUUAAUUCAGCUCAUGGUAAAAGGUGUCAUCAAUCAAUUGAUCGACACGAGAGCAAGUAGAAAGAACUCUGAUCACAAACUCUUUAGGGGCCAGCCACACUCCU